rnacentral:misc_RNA from 1 species
CCAGAACUAUUCUUCUGAGAGAUUCCACCUCCUCUUUGAUAAUUAUAGCCAGAGGAAUUACUGUAAUGCUGGGCAGAAGUACUCCUCUGAUGUGAAGGCUGCAUUUUGAAAAUAGAACUUGUACUCUGGCAGCUGCGACUGUUGGUCCCACUACAAUUCUGCACCGCAUCCAUCUUGCCAGCAUCUGGAAUGUUGCUAGUAGAUGAACUCUUAGCAACAGUGCUCAGUGUUGAAGUUCCAGCACUGGUGGAGCAUGAUGCGUCUACCAACCCCAGUUCAUCUGGUAACUGGGUGACACUUGCAUCAGUGGCUAUGGGGAAGUUCAGGGUGUUGUCAGAGGACUUAAUUGUCUGAGACUCUUGGAAGCUGUUAACUAAUGGUUGAUCAACAGUUUGCCCAUGGUUAAACUGAGAAGGAAGCGCACCUUCUGCAUGUUGCUGCAAUGGCAUUGAUACAGAAACAGAUUGAAGAGGUGAUGGAGGAACAUGUGACCAUCGAGCUUGGACCGACAUGUCAGGAGAGGACUGGAAAGGAGA